UUUCUAAUUUUUCUUCCUUUUAGGAAUCUGACGAGCCCAAAAGAAAGAAAGCCAAAGCAGGCAAACAGAAUCCAAAGAAGUUACAUUGCCAGGAACUUAAAAAGGUACCUUAGUAUAGGUUAGUGUCAAAAAUGAUCUAAGAUUUUUGAAAACUUAGUCCUUGACAGCUGCUUUGUAAAGAGGGAAUUCUUAGAACGCUGUUGAAGUCAGAGUCUAAAGGGUGGGCAGUGGAUUCCCAAUGUGCUUGCUUGCUAGAGCUCCCCAUUUCAGGCAUGCAUUUCCCAAGCUCACCUACCUGCCUUCUAAAAAGGCCUGUUAACCUAAGGACUCAAUUGGGUAGAUUAUAUGUCCAGACUUAACAGUCAACAUACUUGAUAGUGAAAUGCAUACAGGAGAUCCUAUCUUCUGGAUUCACUGUCAGUGUUGAGGGUGCUACUCAGUAAGGACUGCUGCUCUGAUGGUUUCUUACUUGACAGGUGAUUGAAGCCUCAGACAUUGUGUUAGAAGUUUUGGAUGCCAGAGAUCCUCUUGGUUGCAGGUGUCCUCAGAUAGAAGAAGCUGUUAUCCAGAGUGGGAGUAAGAAGCUGAUACUUGUAUUAAAUAAGUCUGGUGAGUACAAACACUCCCCUUUAUCUAUUUUGUGCACUAUGAGGUAUGAGGAAAAUAUCGGACAGUCUGAUUACCACUGAAGACUGAUAAGAUCCAACUCUGACCUCAACAAAGCCAAUGAAUGUGCACUCUGGUGGCCAAAGACCUGGGGGGAGGUAGUUUCUGCAAGUGAUUAUUCACUUGGCUUUUUCUGUUCUGCUUUUUAAUAUUUAGCUUCAAUGUGAGUUUCCAUAACCACUUUAUUUCAUAUAGGAACUGAUGUGAGCGUUUGCCAUUUAAACUGGGGUACAAGAAAAGUUACUAUGUGGGAUAAAAUAUUAAAUAAAAUUAUUAGAUAUCUGGGUGGGUUUAAGCACCAGGAAGAGAGCCCAGAAGAAAGAAAAAUUUGGGCAACUAGCUAAAUUGCCAGCCUCAAUAAAUAUGUUCAAGCCUCAAUAAAUAUAAGGGACAAGGGAAAGAUACUGGAGAGAAGAAUGUAAGAAUGUGCCUUGGGCUUAGAAAACUGGUGCCACAGUAACAAGUAAUUCUGGGAACAGGCGUGACUUGACUUCGUGCCUAGGCUGAGUGAGCAAUCCUGGAGAUGCUGAGGUUCACACGUGGCUCAGUUGGUCCAGUGCCUGCCUGGUACUCAGGAAAGGUGGUUUGUUCCUCAUCACCACAUAAAACCAAGCGUGCUAGUACCCCUCUGUGAUCCCAUCGCUGAGGGGCGAGGGGAGGUUCCAGAGCUGAAGGGCAUCCUCAGUUCCGGCCUGGACGCCAUGGGACUGUGGGGACUGAGAGGUGGAGAUGGGACACCUCAAGACACAGGCCGCGCGGUAGGAAGUUUAUUUUCUUUCUCUUAAAUUUCUCUCAAAACAUUGGGGAAGUACAGAUUAGUAAGAUCAGUAGUUAACACUAGUCUUAAAACCACUGAAUUGAAGUGUCUUUCCCAAUUCAGAUCUAGUACCAAAGGAGAAUUUGGAGAACUGGCUAAAUUAUUUGAAUAAAGAAUUGCCAACCGUGGUGUUCAAAGCCUCAACAAACUUAAAGAACAGAAAGACAUUCAAG
rnacentral:lncRNA from 1 species